GGCUGCUCUGAGCAGGCUCCUGGAGAUGCUUCAGCCUGGAUACAGGCCACUGACAGCCCAAAAGCAGCCCAAGGAGCAGCUGGCGUGUCCUGGUGAUGGUGGCACGGGCUGCGUGCAGAGGGGCUCAGACAGCAAUUCCUGGUUCCAGCCUCCCAGAGCUCCCAGGCAGCUGCCAGUCUUCCCUCACAGCUAUUAAAUGCCAACCGACAGCCUGCAGAGAUGCCUUCAAAUCAAAGGUUCAGGUGGGAUGAAGUUUUGUUUGGACGAAGGUGGGAGUUUCCAGGGAGCCAGCUGGAAGUGCAGAAGGGAUGGAAAGCUUUCCCAGGUGCUGGACUUGCCUCUGUGGAUGUGUGCUGAGCUCUCACUACAGGGGACUGUGAGGCCUGACUGGCUCUUGAAGAAACUGGAAGAAGGAAUUUGGAUGUAUAAAAACAAGCUGAGAAGAGCAUCAGUGUGUUCACUGGCAGCACGGGCUGGGAUGAGGGCUGAGCAGGACCCAAGCUGCAGCACUUCAACCAUUCAGCUUUCACCUCGUGUUUUAUCACGGCCUUUAUGAGACAGAUGUGAAUCGAUGAGUCCCAGGCCGAGCCGUGCCCGUGCCCUGUUCUGUCGGAGCUGGUGCUUUCCUGACAGGUUCAGCAGCCACACUCUGUAAUAAAUAGUCCUGGGUCUGCUGCUGUUCCUCUUCCAGCUUUAUAUUCAAUUUUCCACCCCUUCUCUCCUCUCUGUCCGCUGUGUCUUUUGUGUUCCUUUCUUGGCCUGUGUGCUCCCCAUCCCAUUCCCUUUCACUGCUUCACUCUCUCUUGUUCUUCUUUUUCUUUUUUGAAAUGAAUACUCAAUAUUUAUGUAAUCUCUCUUACUCAAUCCCUCUCCCUGUUCUGUCCUACUUUUUGCCUCUCUCUCUGUCUCACUUGCUGCCUGCAUCUUUAUUUCUCCUUUCUUCCUCUCCUUGUCCCUCAGUCCUGCACCGUGACUGUGUUUCUUUGUCCCUGUCACUGUCCCUUUGCCUGUACCUGUGUGCACCUGCUGCCCAGUGCUCCUCCCUGACCGUCCCCUCUCUUGGUGAGCCUCUGUUCCUGCUGGCCGUGCCUCUCUGUCUCCGUCCCUGUGCUGCUCCUUGGCCGCGUUUGCCCGCCCCGGCACGUGCCGCGGUCGAUUCCUCUGCGGGUUCUUGUUUCCCUCUUUGUAUCCCUCAGUCCUUGCUGCGUGUUUGGCACCGUGUUUCGUUCUGCGUCCUUCUCCGUGCCUCGCUCGUGUUCCUGUUUUAUUCUGUGUGGCUCUGUGGAGCUCCCCGUGCCGGUGGUUCCCACGGGUGUGUCCCAUUUGCUGUCCCUGUUCUUUUUUAAUCCCUCUCUGUGUGCGGCCCAUUCACCAUCCCAGGUGUUUUUGGAUUUUUUGUUUUUUUCCAUUUCAUCCUGCGCCUUGAUCUUAGUUUUCUUGCUGUGUCCUCUCGGCUGGUGCUUCCUCUUCUGCCCCUUGUUGCCUGUGUCUGCGGGGCUGAGAAGGAACUUCAGCCCUUCUGGGGGCUGUCCCCCACUUCCUUGCGUGAGCAGAGUCCCUUUUUGGGGGGAUGGACCGUGGGAAGGGUUCGAAUAAAGUGCCGUGCUCCUG